AUUGAACGCUGGCGGCAGGCCUAACACAUGCAAGUCGAACGGUAGCACAGAAGAGCUUGCUCUUCGGGUGACGAGUGGCGGACGGGUGAGUAAUGUCUGGGGAUCUGCCCGAUGGAGAGGGAUAACUACUGGAAACGGUAGCUAAUACCGCAUAACGUCGCAAGACCAAAGUGGGGGACCUUCGGGCCUCACACCAUCGGAUGAACCCAGAUGAGAUUAGCUAGUAGGUGGGGUAACGGCUCACCUAGGCGACGAUCUCUAGCUGGUCUGAGAGGAUGACCAGCCACACUGGAACUGAGACACGGUCCAGACUCCUACGGGAGGCAGCAGUGGGGAAUAUUGCACAAUGGGCGCAAGCCUGAUGCAGCCAUGCCGCGUGUAUGAAGAAGGCCUUCGGGUUGUAAAGUACUUUCAGCGGGGAGGAAGGGAGAGAGGUUAAUAACCUUUUUCAUUGACGUUACCCGCAGAAGAAGCACCGGCUAACUCCGUGCCAGCAGCCGCCGUAAAAC
rnacentral:rRNA from 1 species